CUUUCUUUCUUUCUUUUUCUUUUCUUUUCUUUUUUUUUUUUUUUAAGGGCCGCAUCUAUGGUAUAUGAAAGUUCCAAGGCUAAGGGUUGAAUUGGAACUGCAGCUCCUACCCUAUACCACAGCAAUGCAGGGUCUGAGCCUCGUCUGGGACCUAUAUAACAGCUAAUGGCAAUACAGGAUCCUUAACCUACUGAGUAAGGUCAGGGACCAAAUCCACAUCCUCGUGAAUUCUAGUCGGGUUCUUUCCUACUGAGUCACAAUAGCAACUUCUGGUUGAAAUUUUCUAAUGGAAGAAAAUAAGUCUAUUAACCUAGAAUGCUCCAGAAUCUAAGUUUAGAGUUAAGUUUUAGAAGUUGUUGGGAGUUCCUGUCGUGGCUCAGCGGAAACAAAUCUGAUUAGGAACCAUGAGGUUGUGGGUUUGAUCCCUGGCCUCGCUCAGUGGGUUAAGGAUCUGGCAUUGCUGUGAGCUGUGGUGUAAGUCGCAGAUGCGGUUCGGAUCUGACAUCGCUGUGGCUCUGGCGUAGGCUGGCAGCUAUAGCUCUGUUUAGACCCCUAGCCUGGGAACCUCCAUCCACCGAGCAAGGCCAGGGAUGGAACCCGAAAUCUCAUGGUUCCUAGUAGGAUUCGUUUCCGCUGCGCCAGGACGGGGAACUCCGUACUUUCUAUCCUUAUUCUCAGAUUUCUAGGGAAGAUCUAUGCCUUGGAUUGGUAAAUUAAUUAAAGCAAUGGAGCCACAAAUGCGGAAUUUAUAAUAUCUCACUUACACACGUCACCGAAUCUCACUUAGAAUCUAAAGAAAUCGGAGAUCGGACUCUUUGUCCGACAGAGGGGAAGACUGAGGCCGAAAGAAGGUAAGUGAGCAGUCCAGGCUCACAGAACCAAGGGGUAACAAGAAUCCAGACUCCACCACAUGGAGCCAAGGGUUGCAAACGGGUGGGAUAGCUAAGAAUGGGGAAAGAAUUGGGAGGGAGACUCUUUUCAACUAUAGGAGGCCGGGGGAUUGGAGAACCUGACAAGCACUGAAGAUGCAGCCCAAGGCCACCCUCUGGAGCCCGCUCAGCCCACGGGAAGAUCCCCGCGAGCCCCAGCUCGGUUGCUCCCGCUCUCGCGAUACUGGCCGGCCUCUGCU
rnacentral:lncRNA from 1 species